rnacentral:ncRNA from 1 species
GAUAGCUGGCUUGUGGUGGCCAAGCAUUCAUAGCAAUGCUGUUUUAUGAUCCUUUGAUGUUGUUGUUCCCAUCAUUGUGAAGCAGAAUUCACCAGGCAUCGAAUUGUUCAUUCACUAAUAGGCAAGGUGAGCUGGGAUUAGACCAUCAUAGGAUAGGCU